rnacentral:rRNA from 1 species
GACGAACGCUGGCGGCGUGCCUAAUACAUGCAAGUCGAACGCAGUGGGGACGGGUGAGUAACACGUGGGUAACCUCCCAUCAGAGGGGAUAACACUUGGAAACAGGUGCUAAACCGCUACUGAUGGAUGGACCCGCGGUGCAUUAGCUAGUCGGUGGGGUAACGGCUCACCAAGGCCACGAUGCAUAGCCGGGCUGAGAGGUGGACCAGCCACACUGGGACUGAGACACGGCCCAGACUCCUACGGGAGGCAGCAGUGGGGAAUAUUCGGCAAUGGACGAAAGUCUGACCGAGCAACGCCGCGUGAGUGAAGAAGGUUUUCGGAUCGUAAAGCUCUGUUGUUGGAGAAGCGGUAUCUGACCAGAAAGCCACGGCUAACUACGUGCCAGCAGCCGCGGUAAUUC